AUCAACAUUCUUCCCCGACGUCUUGACGCUGGGUUCCGGCUUAGGGUUCUGGCUUUCCUCCUGGGCUAGUGAACGCGGCGAAGUCCUCCUCUUUUCUAAUCUUCAGAGCCGUAGUUCCAUCCUCUGGGUCAGCGGCUUACCCUGACUGGGCUGCGGUAUCUGCCUUCCUUCCCCCAACAAGGCGACAGGUAGUCGGGGCUGGGGCCGGAACUGACUGAGUGGGCCGCGGCUCCCGCCUGAGGAGGCUAGGAAGGACUGGACAGCAGCCGACUUCCCAGGCUCUAAAAAUCGUGCCUCUGAGUUAGAGCUACCUCAAAAGCAAGACCAAGCAUGAGAAAUGGGGUCUUUUGGCCAGUAUUGGGGUGUUCGGAAUUCAAGCGUAUGAGAGAGUGGACGGUAGCGUUGAGAAUUUUCAUUUGAAGAUCUCGUCUUAACCACCCCAAGUGUAGUCAGAGGCGGCGUUUUCCCUGCGAGAGUGCCCUGGAACAAAGCAAGGAUAGCGUGGGUUAGACAUACCUGAAAUGAAAGCGUCUUACUUUAUCUAGGUACAUAUUUGCGUCAGUAAGGCGCAACGCCAUUUCUCUCUUGGAAUUCAGAAGUGAAAUAUGGUGACUGGGACGCCUGUACAUUGCUUUGACUUAAAAAUUGAAGUCAAUUAUUCUGACCGAAAGUUAAUCUGAUGAUUAAUUGGUUAAACAUACUAUCGUUGCUAAUUAGCAUAAUUAUUAUUUACAAUAAAGUGAGCUAAAUAGCUACAACUAAAAUAUAUUUAAAUUACUGUGAUAUUGUGAUGCUAAAGAUGUGUUGAAAUUAAUAUCUUGAAUUUCUCAACCCUGCCUAAAUGCCUCUGAGAGUAAUUAGUAUAAUUAAAAGUCACUAGAGAAAGUGAAUGACUCUAAUAACAGGAUAACAAAUUCUUUUCAAGUCAGAUGGUUUCCAGUUCUUUGCUUUCAACAAAAUUAAUGGUGGCCCAUGAAUUGUCAGCUGAUGAAGGAACACUAUUUGGUUUUUGGCAUGCAACUCGGAAAGAAACCAAACGAUUGAUUGACAUGCUUACAACAAAACUACUAGCAUUCUCACCUAUUUAUGUAAAACCAUUUCUCAGCACUUGUAUCUGUGAAAACAACAGAAUUGAAAAUGAACCCUGUUAAUCUACCAGUAGGAACUAUUCAUCCAGAUAAAUGAAUUAAUUGGUGGGUCAGCCCCAUCUAUCUCACUAAGAGAUGUGUUCCCAAUAGAAUUUCACCUUUUAUAACUGUGUAUUAUCAAUAUUUGCAAUCGUGUCAUUUUGAUCCAUUAUAUACUAAAGAUGAUUGUGAUGAUUACUCACUUCAGAAGAAUUCCAGCGUAGAGCCAUAAAGUUACACGAAAUUUUUUAAGGUUUACUACAUAUGUCAUAUUUUUAUUGCAAAGAAGUGAUCAAGAAAAGGUUGUUCAAACAUCAAAGUAUUACAUUUGAAUAACAUUUUUUGUUAGAGUACAAUCUAAAUAUGUUAGAGAUAAUAAAAGAACAAUGUUGAAGA
rnacentral:antisense_RNA from 1 species